rnacentral:rRNA from 1 species
CAAGGUGCUGCAUGGUUGUCGUCAGCUCGUGCCGUGAGGUGUCGGGUUAAGUCCCAUAACGAGCGCAACCCUUACCGUUAGUUGCCAUCGGGUCAAGCCGGGGACUCUAGCGGGACUGCCACCGUAAGGUGAGAGGAAGGUGGGGAUGACGUCAAAUCAGCACGGCCCUUAUGUCCAGGGCUACACACGUGUUACAAUGGCCGGUACAGAGGGCAGCUACCUGGUGACAGGAUGCUAAUCCCGAAAGCCGGUCCCAGUUCGGAUUGGAGUCUGCAACCCGACUCCAUGAAGUUGGAUUCGCUAGUAAUCGCGCAUCAGCCAUGGCGCGGUGAAUACGUUCCCGGGCCUU